AAGCCUUCCCCCUUUGCUACCCUCAGUGGUGCUAGGGUCUUGAAACUCAGCCCAGUACAAUCAUUGGUGUUUGAGCUGGCAACCGGGGGUUUAAUUGCCAGCCGAGAUGGGUAUCUCUGGCUCUGGGGAAACAGCUGGGAUAGGACUCUUCGGCAGGCAGCUCGUGAUGCAAAUGCCAAGUUUGUACCAAUAGGAUUCAAACCUUGGUGGCUGACUCCAGCGUGCACUCUCUGCACUAUGCUGCUCCCUCCUGACAUCACUCUGGUGACAUUUGUAGGGCGAUGAAGACACCCAAAAGCUCAAAGACGACAGAACACCGGAGUGCCUUUGCCAUCAAACUUGUUCUUGCACUGUGUCAGUGCUACAGCCGAUGUGGGUGGUGGAAUUCCUACGGACAAGAGGAAAGGCAUCACCUUGUCCACAAGAGUCCACGGCAGUGUGCUCCUGAACACGCCACGCCACUAAAGCAAACCACACGUCGUGGUCAGCUUUCCCUCCCUUAGAGGAUGCUGUGUAUAAUAAACAGUUGCCCAAACCAGGAAAUUACAACAAGGAACAGCAAGGCCUUUUGUUCCCAAUUAUAUUCAGAGGAAGCCUCACCACGUCUACGGAUACCCAGCAGGCUCUUCACCUGUGGCUCAAACCUCAAUCAGCUUUAGGCCAGUUACAAAGAGACAGUCCCUCUGCCACACCCAUGGAAGUUGCCUGUCUGUCCAGCUGAACACGGAUUUGUUUUGAAAUGACACUGACAGUUACAUAAAGAAAAACUUGUUCUGACAAGAAAAGACUUGAGGUGAUAAAAACCUUCCUGGUCUCGGGUUCUCCAGAUCUCUUCCCACACCAUCCUUGUUUCCCUGAGGAAAUGAGUAGUAUUUAUAGGAUUCUGCUACUAUGCUCGACAGAUCCUUGUAUGUAUAGCUCUCACCUCUUUUCUCAGAACCUUCUCCAGUGAAUGCCACCUUUGUCUUGCAGAGCAGCUGAAGUGAGAGAUGAAACAGACUCUUUGACAGGGGCUCACUCGCUUUAAGCCCAGGGCUUCUAGCAAAAGUGUGACAUACUUGUACUCGGAUACCAGAGAUGACAGACUCCAAAUCAUCUCGUCUUGAAUUGCAAUGGGGAACAAUUUGGCUUCAAAAAAUUUUUCCAACAUACAUGUACUCUGAAGACAUUUUUGGAGAGCUCAACACCAGUGCUUUUCUCUAGAGAUGAUCUUCAUUUGCAGCUUGGUCACAGGAGGUUCAUAAGGGAACCUCUUGGACAUGGUGCUAUCAACGGGCAGUAUAGGUCCACUCUGGUUUGGAAACCCAUUGUUUUCUUCCUGGUGCUAGCUCUCACUAAUCCAGAGAUCCUAACUUCCCAGGCAUGUGGUGGCAGGUGAGCCUGAUGGGCAGCUCCUGUCUUGUCUCAGCCCUCUGCAGCAGACAUGGAAGAGUCCCAGCCAGCCCAAGAAGAUGAGCAGAAGACAGGGGUGUGCAGGCCUCCUGCAGUGCCCCCUGACACACAUGCUACCUGGGAGUCUUCUCCACGUUGUCUCACAGAUUUUCACAAAAUAAGUGUCCAUAUUCCAGGAAGGCUAAGGCUGGAAACAAUUGCCUGUUGCACACAUUGCUUCCUAGCUGGCUGGACAAUGUCCUGCUAGUCACCGUGACAGGCUUUUUCCGGGAGAAAUGAGAAACCUUUUUCGUUAGAAUGGGCAUCAUGGAAGAAGAACUAGACAUUUCCAUGGACAAGAAUUCAUUACAUCACUGCUCCGUGGACAGGCAGGGUUGUCAACCCUGGGGUGCACAGAGCCUCAGGCUAGCAGCCAGCUCACCAACUCUCAUGCUUCCUUUCUCUGUUUCUCCACAAAAUGAAGACACAAAAAGAACUUAGUUUCACGGAGAUGGCACGAGGUGAAAAGUCAGGCUUCAUUUGGCACUGUGUUUGGUUCCCCAAAUAACAAAAUGACUAUGUAAGAAAU
rnacentral:lncRNA from 1 species